UACGAAGGGGGGCUAGCGUUGCUCGGAAUGACUGGGCGUAAAGGGCGCGUAGGCGGCUUGUAUAGUCGGAUGUGAAAUUCCUGGGCUUAACCUGGGGGCUGCAUACGAGACGUAUGGGCUUGAGUGCGGAAGAGGGUCGUGGAAUUCCGAGUGUAGAGGUGAAAAUUCGUAGAUAUUCGGAAGAACACCAGUGGCGAAGGCGGCUCACUGGACCGGCAUUGACGCUGAGGUGCGAAAGCGUGGGGAGCAAACAGG
rnacentral:rRNA from 1 species